AGAGAGAGAGAGAGAAAAUUCACAAAAUCAUGGACAAAUCAUACACAAGCUAUUAUUAAAAUAAAUAAAAGCUGUAAAAAUACUCAUAGCAACUCAGCAAGGGCAAAGCUCUUAAUAAAGAUAAAGAACACAAAAGCAUGCAUAUAGAGUUUUAGAUGAAAAAUUCCUUGACAACUUUGAAAUAAACCUCUCGUCAAAGAGGUUGGUGAGUUCAGUCCAAUCUUUUAAUGCAACUGUGACUCGAAUGUAAAAAUCUUCUUCACACAAUCACACUUAAACAUGGUUGAUUUUAGAGAGAUAAAAAGAUAAAUAUGGCUUUUGACGGUAAAUCACAGAUGGCGAUAUCACAAAAGGGCAAGAAUGCCUAAAAAUGUACAAAAGCAGAAAAAUUUUGUAUUUCCACUUCUGAUGUUGGCUUUAUUGGCAUGAUGUAACAAUAGGCUUAAACCAGAAAAACCCAAAGUAAGAAAGAUAAGCUAUAGGCAAGAAAGAUAAGCUAUAGGCAAUUGCUCCUUAAAGUCACUAUCUCAACAAGGUGUUGCUAAUGAUUUAUUUCCCAACAAAACCCUCACGAAAGGAUACAAAUGAUAAGUAUGAUUUUUACCUAGUUACAAUGGCAAAAAGUAGCAUAUUUAAAACACAUAAAAUAAUUUCACCUCAUCAAAAGUAUGCAGAUAUAUGAAUCCAACAAACCUGUUUCAAGGAGUUCCAGUUUUAGGAAUGGUGCCUAAUUCCCAAACAAAGUAAUUCAUAAUUCUUUAGACACAACAAACCUUAAAACGAGGAUCAAAAACUA
rnacentral:misc_RNA from 1 species